UAUUUCAAGGCUCAUGUUAGGAGCCAGCUCCUCAGGAAGCCCCUCUGAUUGCUCCAGAGUAGUGACUGCAACACCCAAAGAGCAUUUAUCUCAUUCUGCCUUAAAUCGUAUUCAUUUUGUGAAUGUCUAACUAUGUCUAACAACUAUACUACAGGUUCCUCGAAGGUCUCAUCAAUUUUUAAUCACUUCCCCACUUUUUUCAUACAGAAGUGGUCAAUAAAUAUCUGUUGAUAGAAUAUCAAAGAGAUGAGCGUUAUAUUUUCCUGUAUAUUUAUUACCUAAUUAAAUAUAGUACAUACAAGGCUCUAUCUAACAGUAGGUACUGGAUGAGCACUAGUGACUGUGUGGUUUGAUUGUACCAUUCUAAACAUAUCAACUCUGGUCUUUAUCCUUUUUACCUUGUAGGUGGUCGCUGACCUGGCAGGUUAUCAUCCACUUCCCAGGAUUCUCGGCUAUCAUUUCUGUUGUGCCAGGACACAGAUUCUCCAACACACAUAUCAGGCUCCGGGAAGUUUCCGAAGAGGUAUCCAUUGAGGGCUGGAAACAGAAACACGCUAGUGGAAGAGACUCCCCUGCAGAGGCGACUGGGACCAGAAAUGUUGAGAAAACACUCAAUAAAAGUGAAGAUCAGCAUACACUGAGAACAGCCUCGGAGCUGCUGUGGGAACGCAAUAUGAGGUCAGGAGAAAACAGAGUGCUGCUCAUAUUUACAGGAGGCUCAGUCACCUUCUGUCAUAAUCCUUCACUGGCAUAUCUGCUGUCUUCACCAGAUUCUGUGCUCCUUGGAACUAGAAACCCUGUCUUGUUCAUCUUAACAGUUAUCAGGACCUAGCAGAAAAACUGGCACAUAGUAUCUACUUAAUGAAGUGACAAAAGCAUGUAGUAAGAUGGAAAGAAAAGGAAUUGAUUAAAAGGAAUUUAUGAGAACUGUUUUGUUUGUUUGUUUGUUUACUUUAAAAAGCCAAGAGAAAAACAGUUUUUACUACAUGUUGCUGGAGCAGAAUCUUAUUAAGUUUAUGGCGUAAAUCCAGGACCGAAUACUUUAAAACCAUCUA
rnacentral:lncRNA from 1 species